CUUUACAGUUAGCUACGAAAUAAACCAUAAUUAAUUUCAGUUCGGAACCGUGCGCACAAUGCACUCGCUCACCUUCCUCAUGUUUCACAGGUAAUUAUUUAUACGUCUUCAGUAACCGCUGGAUAUGAACACUGAUUGAAAGUAUGCCAUUAAGCUGCAACAGACGUAAAUGGUUAUUUGCGUACACUUCUGCCUUAAUUUUACCGGUCCAUGCGGUUUGGUUUAUGUUCUGUAUCAUUUAACAAAUUUUACAACUUUUUUAUGCCCAAAAAUUACAGAUUGCCGUUCGAUGAUUUAUUUAAACUGGACCUUGCGUGUCACAAAUCACUCAUUUUAAUGGUCAUCUGUUAAAACCUCCCACAACAACUGCAUGGAGGUCUCCUAGUUUUACCCGACCUCUCUAAUCUGAAAACAAUUUAGUACGUGGAGUUUGUUUGUUGUAAAUUUGGUUACUAGUGUGAAAGACUUGGAUGACCAAUGCAGUGUAAGUUGUUACCAAAGUUAUGGUCCAACCAUGGAGUACCCACAAACCGAAGGCGACAGUUUGUGUCUGCAAAGAAACAGACCUCACUACUUUGCAGAAUGUAAAGUAGUGAGGAAAAGAAUUAAGUUGAUACUCUAAGAUAUUAAGAAUUGUGAGUGAUCUUCUAAAAUCUUCUAUAAUUCUUUUUACAACAACAUCUAAGGAAGAAGGAAAGAUAUAGAAUAAAACUAAUUAAAUGGAAGAGGAAAGUAAAACAAGAAACUACAGUUGGAUUUAGAAAUAAAUCAUCAUCUAGUGAUGAACAUUAAGUAUAAUAUAAGCAAUAUAUAGUUUGAU